rnacentral:rRNA from 1 species
AGCUCCAAUAGCGUAUAUUAAAGUUGUUGCGGUUAAAAAGCUCGUAGUUGGAUUUCUGUCGAAAACAGCCGGUCCGCUCUAUGAGCGUGUAUCUGGUUUGGUUUUGGCAUCCUCGAGGGGUACUGCGCUGUGCUUGAUUGCAUGGCCAGGAAUUCUCGACUUUUACUUUGAGGAAAUUAGAGUGUUCACGGCAGGCAAGCGCCUUGAAUACAUUAGCAUGGAAUAAUAAUAUAGGACUUUGGUUCUAUUUUGUUGGUUUCUAGAACUAAAGUAAUGAUUAAUAGGGAUAAUUGGGGGCAUUUGUAUUAACGCGUCAGAGGUGGAAUUCUUGGAUUGCGUUACGACAAACUACUGCGAAAGCAUUUGCCAAGGAUGUUUUCA